rnacentral:rRNA from 1 species
CCUACGGGCGGCAGCAGUGGGGAAUAUUGGGCAAUGGGCGCAAGCCUGACCCAGCAACGCCGCGUGAAGGAAGAAGGCUUUCGGGUUGUAAACUUCUUUUCUCAGGGACGAAGCAAGUGACGGUACCUGAGGAAUAAGCCACGGCUAAAUACGUGCCAGCAGCCGCGGUAAUCCGUAGGUGGCCAGCUUUAUCCGGAUUUAUUGGGUGUAAAGGGCGUGUAGGCGGGAGCGCAAGUCAGAUGUGAAAACUCAGGGCUCAACCCUGAGCCUGCAUUUGAAACUGUGUUUCUUGAGUGCUGGAGAGGCAAGCGGAAUGCCGUGGGUAGCGGUGAAAUGCGUAGAUAUACGGAGGAACACCAGUGGCGAAGGCGGAUUGCUGGACAGGAACUGACGCUGAGGCGCGAAAGCGUGGGGAGCAAACAGGAUUAGAUACCCCGGUAGUC